UACAGAGGGUGCAAACGUUGCUCGGAAUCAUUGGGCGUAAAGCGCACGCAGGCGGUCUGUUAAGUCGGGUGUGAAAUCCCCAGGCUCAACCUGGGAAGUGCACUCGAAACUGGCGGGCUUGAAUAUGGAAGAGGGUCGCGGAAUUCCCGGUGUAGAGGUGAAAUUCGUAGAUAUCGGGAGGAACACCAGUGGCGAAGGCGGCGACCUGGGCCAAUAUUGACGCUGAGGUGCGAAAGCGUGGGGAGCAAACAGG
rnacentral:rRNA from 1 species